rnacentral:rRNA from 1 species
UACGUAGGGCGCAAGCGUUGUCCGGAAUUAUUGGGCGUAAAGAGCUCGUAUGGACGGCUUGUUGCGUCGAAUCUGUGAAAAACCCCGCGGCUUAACUGCGGGCUUGCAGUUGAUACGGGCAGGCUAGAGUUUCGGUAGGGGGAGAACUGGAAUUCCUGGUGUAGCGGUGAAAUGCGCAGAUAUCAGGAGGAACACCGGUGGCGAAGGCGGGUCUCUGGGCCGAAUACAUGACGCUGAGGAGCGAAAGCGUAGGGGAGCGGAACAGGA